GAUGUGAUGAAUAUGUAAAUGAGAAAAAACAAAAAUAACAACUAAUAUAAUAACAAUAAAACGAGUUUCACCAGGAGAAAUGAGUCAUGGGACAGAGCACCUUCAAAUAUUCAACCUCAAAUAAGUAAUUGCCUCGUAAUCAAUGAUCAAUAAAGUAGGAAACGAGGCGUUUGCCAUCAAAUAGUGGCAGCAGAUUAUCGUUUGUGUUCUUCGGCUCACGUUCACAAAAGAAAAUGAGCUGAUGUGUAGAUUAUCACGUAGGCACAAAAUAAAUAAUGUAUCCUCUUGCUUCGGCCAGCUGUGAAUUUACCAGUCGAUUGCCGACUGCUAUCUUUGCAAUGUCGAGCGGUUGUCAAUGUUGUCGGCCUCUGGUCAGUGCAUGUGAGUGACAGUGUGUUUUAAAUUGUUGUUGUCCGAUGGCCAGGAGAUUGGGGGGGAACAAAUAGCCGAAUCAUCUGAGUUACAAGCAAAAUUUUCAUUUUCUAAAACCUCACAAUCGCUUUCAAAGGACGAGGAAAAAGCAGAGUCGUCAGAGCUAAUAGCAAUUUCAGGGUUAGGGUCUGAAGCAGAACACAGGGCUGUAAGGAAGAAAUAAAAAGCUCAUGCCAUGAAUAACAGAGAAGACAACCACCAAUAAUAUUAGCCAAUAAGGUGAGAAACUAAGCAGUUUCAAACUUAGAAGAAAUGAAGAAUGGACAUGAUUGUGAGGUGACUACAGAAUUAUGAAUGGAGAUGAACUACCACCAGUGAGUUAAUGGAAAUAAAUUGCCAUCAUACUUGUUUUGGAGACAAAUUAUGAGAUGAAAAAUUGAAAUGUACACUUUAGAAACUCUGUAAUAAAUAACAUCAAAGUUCUAGUUA